rnacentral:rRNA from 1 species
CGUGUAGGCGGCUGGAUAAGUCAGAUGUGAAAGCCCUGGGCUUAACCCAGGAAGUGCAUUUGAAACUGUUCAGCUUGAGUAAGGGAGAGGAAAGUGGAAUUCCUGAUGUAGAGGUGAAAUUCGUAGAUAUCAGGAGGAACACCGGUGGCGAAGGCGACUUUCUGGCCCUAUACUGACGCUGAGACGCGAGAGCGUGGGUAGCAAACA